rnacentral:lncRNA from 1 species
GAGAGAUGACGCAAGCCCGGUAGAGGCGGGAGUCAUAGAUGCCAAGAAGUAUGGCCCCCCUCAAGAAGCCUCGAAAUACCACGAAGUUGCCCCUGGCUUUAAACCCCUUGAAGAGCAAGGACGUGUUGGCAGUGCUGGCUGAGAGGAACCAGGCUAUAGUACCCGUUGGGGCCUGGGUGGAGCCUGCCCCACCAGAUAGUUCAGAAGUCCCGGCAGCUACUUCAGCAUAUAUAAUUGAAGAAGAACUGAAGGAGCAGCUAAGAAAGAAGCAGGAAGCUCUGAAGCGUUUUCAGAGACAAGUCAAAAGCCGAGUAAAUCAGCAAAUCAGGCUGAGAAAAAAGCAACAACUUCAGCGGUCUUAUGAAGCUGCAGAGAAAGAAGGCUCAAUAGCCAUGUACUCUUCAGAUCUAGCACACUUAACUCCUAAAAGAACGAGCGUUUUUCCAAGCAAUUUGAAUGCUGCUAUUGGAAGGGCCAGAUUGCCUCCUCCCCACAUGUUUGAGGGUGGAAUAGAAGACAGAGAGAAUCAGAAUGAACUGUUCCAACAACAAGCCCAGGCUCUUAGUCAAAGCAUGAAACAAGCACGUCACCGGCUGGCAUCGUUUAAAACUGUGAAUCAGAAAGAUGCACCAGAGUUUCCAGAUGCUAGAAAGAAAAGCUUUCCCACCCAGGAGAAAGCACUUUGUAGGAAGCCAUCAUUUACCAGGAUAAAUAUAGGCGUAAGAGAACUGCCCUUGGAGGUCCAUCAAGGUCUUUUAACUCCUGCAGAUUACCAGAAAUUUAUGGAUGAUCAGGAACCUGAGGAAUCUUCAUCUGUUAUGAUAGAUAAGAAAGGGAAAAAGCAUUUGUCUUGGGGGGACCAGGAGACUCUCCUUCCUGAAGACAAAGAUAUACCUUUCAGCAGAGUUCAGAAAGUACAAUUCAAAACCCCACUAUUUGAUGUGAUGGAAGAGGAAGAAGUAAAGCAAUUACAUCAGGACGUUUUGCCAGAAACCCAGGAUUAUCUUCCAGAAGCCCAGGGGGAUUUGACAAGUGUCCUCGAUGUUGAGUGGGAAGCCCAGCGCUGUGAGCCGAGACUCAGUACCCAGCAUAUCGACCUGGAAGACCACACUGUUGAGGCCAAAGCCCAGGCCAUUAAGACAAAAACUAAGAGUGGUAUGCUGAAAGACACGACUGUUGGACUAGAAGAUGGGGAUAUUGCCUUGGAAGUGCAAGAUUUUCCACUCCAAAAUCAGACUUUUCUACCCACAGAUGAGCACAUUCUCCCCAAAGACCAGAAUGUUCUACCGAAAUGUCAGGACCAGGAUUUUCUACCUGAAGACCAGUGUGUUUUACCCAAAGACCAAUGUGUUCUCCCCAAAGACCAGAAUAUUCAACCCAAAUGUCAGGACCAGGAUUUUCUACCCAGCAAUCAGAAGGUAUGCUUCAAGGAGACAUAUUGUGAUAUGAUGAAUGAGAAAGGAAGAAAAGAGUUUUCUCUGGAAAGUUAUCAAUAUCUGCCUCCUAAACUUCAGGACCAGGCCUCCAUCAGAGAUCAGAGCAAGUGUGUUAUGCAACCCUCACGUUUCAAGAAAUCGGAGCUUGGAAGAGGAAUUGCUUCUGGAGUGUGGUUGAGCUUAUCCUCCAUACAGCAACCAUGUGUUGGAACAGCUGAAAAAUGGCAGGAAGAUUUGCUUCUGGAUGGGCAUCAGCAUCUUGCAUCCAAGCAGCAGAGAGAGGCUUCUAGCAGAAAACAGGUUGGUGAUGAGUAUCAGUCAAGAUUGAACCCUGAAUUUCAAACUCCCCUGGCACUUCAGUCUGGAGUAAGUCAAGAGGAAGACAAGAAAGAGCGUCAAAAGCAAUACCUGAGGUAUAGACGACUUUUCAUGGAUAUUGAAAGAGAACAAGUGAAAGAACAACAAAGGCAAAAAGAACAUAAAAAGAAAAUUGAAAAAAUUAAGAAAAAGAAAGAGCAGCAACGUUAUGCUGAAGAACAAAGAAUAUUAAGAAUGAACUCCCAUGAAGAGCCAUGUUCAGGGGAGAAGAUGAGUGAGAUGUUAGCCCAACUACAGCUUGAGGAAGUAAAAGGAGCCAGAGAAAAACAACAGCAGAAAGAAAAAGAAUACCAAAGAUAUGUAGAAGCUUUAAGAGCCCAGAUCCAGGAGAAAAUGCAACUAUAUAAUAUUACUUUACCUCCACUCUGCUGCUGUGGUCCUGAUUUUUGGGAUGCUCAUCCUGAUACCUGUGCCAAUAAUUGUAUUUUCUAUAAAAACCACAAAGCAUAUACCCGGGCGCUACAUUCAGUCAUCAAUUCCUGUGACAUCCCUGAGGGGAACUCAGAUCUUCGAGUUGCCAUUCAUAAUUUUGCUUCUGCACAUAGACGGACUUUGAAAAACCUGUAAUAAGAAUCUGAAAUCAACCAUUAGUAUUUCAACCUACUUAAAAUCUACCCCAAGAGAUUAUUUUAGGAAAAACUGUCAAAGUGUAUAAGAUGUGUAAUUUGGAAAGACUGUCCCACACAAUUGGUGUCUUUUUAAUUAAAUCAUGACCAUUAUUUCA